UGUAGCUAGCAAGUAGCAUAUGAUUCAAUCUAAAUUUCCUGAUUUCAAAUCCAAAGCUUUAUUUUAUUUUUAUUUUUUAACAGCAUACCACCCUGCCUCCAGCAUUUGUUGAAUUGAAUUGUCUCUAUGACACAGUGGGGACUCAUAAAUACCAGUCUUCCACUUACUCAUUGUUAAGACAGCACAAGAAAAUUGGAUACAUUAAAUGUCAAUCCCUGUCAAAUUGUGUCAUAAGCAUGGAGACCUAAUCAUAGCUUCCCACAUAAACCUAACCAAAAGAAAGUUGAAGGAAGAAACAAAGGUUGUUUCAUGUCUUUUUCAUUUACUGUCUUACUUUCCCUUAGGCUCAUUCUAAUUUAUUUUAGACCCUCCACAUGUGGGCAUGAGCUAGUUUUUAUAACUAGUCUCUGUAUUUUUCUUAUUCUUUGACAGUCUUUGAUUUACUGAGUGGAGAAAGUCUCCUGAGUAAACACAACAUAAUUUUUAAAAUAACAUAAGCAUUACUUGAAACAAAGGUUGAAUUGGAUAGUAAAUGUGAACUCAAGGCUUUGAUUACAUUGGCUUCAUUUUAGACUUUUGUGCUUAACAGAUAUCUUCCAGACAAACACAAAGAGGGGCUGUGUCUACACAUAAUUUAGAUGAUUGUCCAGAUAAUUUCAGAAUAUGAAAGCUUAAUUUUCUCUCAGCUUGUAUUUCAGAUGAAUGUAACUUUCUGACAAGCAGAAUCUAUCAUGUCUAUAUAGAUGCCUCCCUAUGGUUACAUCUACAGCUUGUCUCUUAAGUUCUUGUUCCCCAUUUCUAACUGAUUGCUAAGUAGAUAAACUUAGAUUUCCUACUGAUAUCACUAAUUUAAUAUGUCUAAAAUUGAAUGCAAUAAUCUCCUACCAAAAUUUAAUUCUUCCUCCUGAUUUUCACUAUUUCUGUUACUGGCAUUACAUCCUCUUUUGUCACGCAGAUUUGAAACUGCUGGGUUAUAGUUUAUUCUCUCAAGCCCAACAUUCAACAUGCAAUCACUUGCCAAGCCAUGUAAAUUUUACUUCUGAAAAUAUUUUUUGUAUUUCUUCUUCUUCCUAGUCUAUUUCUACACUAAAUCAGGUGAAUUUCAUUACCUUUUAGCUACCGUAAUGUAUUAAUUUCCUAACUUUCUCCCAUCAUUUAAUUCACUGUGCACCAAGGUCAGAUUAAUUCUUAAAGGUUGGCUCUCUGAUUAAGCAUUCUCUUGUUUCAAAGUCUUAAAUAGUUUUCAGUUGUUUGUUUAAUAAAAUUUGGAUUUCUUUAAAACUCACCAUGAGCUAGCUCCAACUUUCUUUUUCAAGCUUAUCUCCCACUACUACUGCUAUUCACAAAACCUAAAUGCCACUUAGAAUGAUCAGAUAUUUGGUCACUUUGGCUUUCUCAGUUCAUGCUGUCCACUUCGUUUGUAAUACUUUCCCAGUCCUAAUCCUCAUCUCCUUUCAAGACUCAGAUUAAAAGUCAUCUCUUUGAGAAAACUUCCCCCCCCCAUUCUUUCCUCUCCUCCCAAGCUGAAUGUAAUAUCAUCUUCUUUAGAAUUUCCCUAUCAUUGUUUGGCAAGCUGUAAUUGUUAUUAAUAAUAUUUUUUAUAAGUAACUAAUCUAUAUUAUAAAUGAUGUACAUUAUUUAUCAUUGGCAUACUAUUGUUAAUAUUAAAGACCAAUUUAAAAUAAUAAUUAUAACAAAAACUCUUUUGUAGUACUUAGUUUGCAAACCACUUUUCUUAUAGAAACAGGUAGAAUUCUCAAGUAUUACCUUUACUUCAUAGAAGAGGAAAUUAUAAUUAUACUUUCCCAUUUCAAUUUAUGGCUUGCCUAUCAUUCCUCAUCUAUUACAUUCUUAUAACUUCCUUAAAGACAUAUGUUGGCUGUAUUUAACUCAUUUUUGUAUUCCUUCAUGGUUCUUAGCAUAAUGCCUUACACAAAGUAUUUAUCUCUUUAAGGAAUGGAAACUACAUAUAUAGUACCUUGAAAUGUUUCAUCAUUGAAGAAAAAAUUUUAAAAAAAUCUUAAGAAUAUGUUUUAAGACAGUAGUGAAAAGAGAAAGGGAACAAGUAUUUAAAUAUCAUUAUGCAUCAACUACUUUAUUAAGCAAGUUUUUUUUUGUUUUUUUUGUUUUUUUUUUACAAAUAACUCAUGCUAACUUCAAAGUAACCCUUUGAAGUAGGUGAUAUUAUUAUUAAUAUUCACAUUUUGCAAUUGAAGACACCAAGGCAUGCAGAACUUAAAUGAUUUUCUCAGGGUUACAUAGCUAGUAAGUGUCUGAGGUUCUUGAUUCCAGGCCCAGCAUCUGUUCCACUAUUCUACCACUGUACUAUACCAUAUGAAAUGGCUAUCUGACAAUUCUUCCAGAAACUUGAAGAAAUCAAGUCCAUCAGGUAAAGUUGACUGAAAUUAUAUGGAAAAUCCUCCCAAAUUCCUUUUUCUACAUCUUUAGCUAUUGCUUAAAGCUAUCAAAAUGAUGUGAAACAAUGAACAGAAUAUGCUGUGGAAACUAUGGAAACCUGGGUCAUUUGCUAUCAUAUAUUCUCCCCAUGUUGGACUACAACAGUGUAUUUUUUCACUUUUUACAAUUGUAUUGACAUAGGUCAUCACCAUAUAUAGAGGCAGAGGUCUCUCAAGAAAUGUUGGGAACUUUAUUAACUUUCUUUUUCUAUGUUAGAAUAAUUCAGGAUCCUAGAAUUAACUUGCCUACUGCUUAGGGAUUCUCUGGGGCUACAUCAAAAGAUUAAAUUCAGUUUUGCACCUGAAGAAGUCUAGACUGCUUUCCCCUGCUGCCCCUCCAAGUCUGCAGCAUCUGUGCAAAGCUGAGAAUAUACAGGUAUGCCUAGCAAUAAAGUAAUUUACCAGCUAGAAGUUGAAAAGCUAUUGCUCCAUUGAAUCUGGGAGUAGCUAAACAGUGUGUGACAGGCUAGUGGUCUCAAAAGUGCCAAGGCAGACAGCCUGAGGAGCCAAUAUGACCCCAACUGUUGUGGGAUUGGUCAAACAGAAGGUGUCUUUGAGGAACAGACAAUGGUAGGUCUAGAAUAUAACCACCUAUUGUUAUCCUCAGACCCUCCCCCUAAUUGACCUCUCAUUCCACUUCCAACUCCCAUCUUCCUUUUUUGAACCAAUUAUAGAUUCCUCAGGACAAUGACAACUUAACCAACACCUUUUUACUUAUAGCAACAGCUGUGCAAGUUCCACAGAGGAAGCUGUCCCUUCAAAUAUCCAAUAGAUCCAAGUAAUCACCAGAUCACUUGGUAACUGGAGCUUUGCUCCAUUGCAGGUGAAGUUCUGUGUUUUAGGGCAAUGGUUAGUAAAAGCCCAUACUACUUCCCUUUACAUUUUGGGUGGUAUAUGAUACAUCUCAUAGGAUGAGCAGGAUAGAUAAACAUGACUAUAUCUCAUUAUAAACUUUCCUAUCUCCCUCCUAUGGGGGGCACCGUCAUUUAUUUGCAAACCCACGGUCAGUGAUUCAUUACUUUCACUCACUUCACUUAUUUAAUAAAUUGUCAAACUUUGCAAUUUCCACAAUCACAGUUUCUCUCCCAUCUGACUCCAUCUUUUUUAUUUCAACAGCCUAGGUUUUCAAAACUAUUAGCUUAGACUAUUGAAACAACUGCCUCUUUGGGCUCUCUACCAGAAGGGGCUCUUUUCCCCUUUUUCAACCCAUCCUUCACACAACUGCCAAAGACAUCUGAAAUUGUAGGUCUGCGUGGGUCAUUCGAUAACCAAUACACUCCAGCAACUCCCUAUUGACUUUAGUAGUGCCCAAUAUAAUUUCAUAUAUCUCAUUCAUUUUUAAUUUCUAUUUUUAUGAAAUUUUAUAAUAUGUAUAUAUUAUAUGUAUAAUUAUGUGUAUAAUUAUAAUGCAGUAGAGCGUGUACAUAUUUAGUGAUAAGGACUGGGCCAGUGAUUUCAUUAAGGAAUUUAGAGGAAACUUCCAGGUGAGGAAGCUUGCUACCUAAGUAGGUCAGCACCUUCUCUGCUACUUAAAAAACUUAAAGAAUUUCCAAGGGCACAAUGAGAUUAAUAGACUUGCCCAGGGCCACAUAGCCACUAGGUUUUAGGGGCAGGUCUUCCUAGGUUCAAGGUUAGCUCCCUUUCCAUUAUGUUUUGAGAUUUAACAUAAAACAUAAAGAGUAAAUGCUGUGUAUUGUAUAUACAUUUUAGGGAUGUAUGCUCAUUUUUUUUUUUUUUUUUUUUUUUUUUUUUUUUUUACAGAUAGGGUGAACAGUCAAAAAAGUUUGGAGGCUUCGGUUCUAAAUAAUGAAACGCUUUCUUCUGGAGAUAGAUAUUGUUGCUAUUAGUAUGAUACAAAUGCACUAUUGAUCCAAAAAUUGGGGAAGGGGAUAACAGUUAAUAUAUUAAGUAUGAAAAGUAUUUUCCUGUUGGAGAGAAUGUGGAAAAUUGGGACACUAAUGCAUUGUUGGUAGAGUUGUGAGCUGAUCCAACCAUUCUGAAAAGCAAUUUGGAACUAUGCCCAAAGAAUAACCAAACUGUGCAUAUGCUUUGAUUCAGCAAUACUAUACUGUGGUAUCCCCAAGAGAUCUUAAAAAGAGAAAAGGAUCUAUAUGUACAAAAACAUUUUAGUAACCCUUUUCUUGGUAGUAAAAUACUGAAAAUUGAGGGGAUGCCCAUCAAUUGGGGAAUGGUUGAAUAAACUUUAGUAAAUGAA